AGUGAACGCUGGCGGUAGGCCUAACACAUGCCAGUCGAACGGCAGCACAGUAAGAGCUUGCUCUUACGGGUGGCGAGUGGCGGACGGGUGAGGAAUACAUCGGAAUCUACUUUUUCGUGGGGGAUAACGUAGGGAAACUUACGCUAAUACCGCAUACGACCUACGGGUGAAAGCAGGGGAUCUUCGGACCUUGCGCGAUUGAAUGAGCCGAUGUCGGAUUAGCUAGUUGGCGGGGUAAAGGCCCACCAAGGCGACGAUCCGUAGCUGGUCUGAGAGGAUGAUCAUCCACACUGGAACUGAGACACGGUCCAGACUCCUACGGGAGGCAGCAGUGGGGAAUAUUGGACAAUGGGCGCAAGCCUGAUCCAGCCAUACCGCGUGGGUGAAGAAGGCCUUCGGGUUGUAAAGCCCUUUUGUUGGGAAAGAAAAGCAGCAGGUUAAUACCCCGCUGUUCUGACGGUACCCAAAGAAUAAGCACCGGCUAACUUCGUG
rnacentral:rRNA from 1 species